GUGAAGGGCGGGAGCAGUAAGGGACUUCCCAGGCUCUGGGGGAGGGUCCAACCCAGAGGAGCACGUGGGCUGGUCCCCGGGGCAGGGGGGCGGGUCCCCUGCAGCACA